AGACCCGAAACCCGGUGAUCUAGCCAUGGGCAGGUUGAAGGUUGGGUAACACUAACUGGAGGACCGAACCGACUAAUGUUGAAAAAUUAGCGGAUGACCUGUGGCUGGGGGUGAAAGGCCAAUCAAACCGGGAGAUAGCUGGUUCUCCCCGAAAGCUAUUUAGGUAGCGCCUCGUGAAUUCAUCUCCGGGGGUAGAGCACUGUUUCGGCUAGGGGGCCAUCCCGGCUUACCAACCCGAUGCAAACUGCGAAUACCGGAGAAUGUUAUCACGGGAGACACACGGCGGGUGCUAACGUCCGUCGUGAAGAGGGAAACAACCCAGACCGCCAGCUAAGGUCCCAAAGUCAUGGUUAAGUGGGAAACGAUGUGGGAAGGCCCAGACAGCCAGGAUGUUGGCUUAGAAGCAGCCAUCAUUUAAAGAAAGCGUAAUAGCUCACUGGUCGAGUCGGCCUGCGCGGAAGAUGUAACGGGGCUAAACCAUGCACCGAAGCUGCGGCAGCGAACGUAUCACCCAAGACAACUUUACGGAGUUGACGAUUGACGGAGCGAAGCGACGUCAAAGCGUUCAUUAAAGUCGAGUUGGCUUAGGGAUACGUUCGUUGGGUAGGGGAGCGUUCUGUAAGCCUGUGAAGGUGUGUCGUGAGGCAUGCUGGAGGUAUCAGAAGUGCGAAUGCUGACAUAAGUAACGAUAAAGCGGGUGAAAAGCCCGCUCGCCGGAAGACCAAGGGUUCCUGUCCAACGUUAAUCGGGGCAGGGUGAGUCGACCCCUAAGGCGAGGCCGAAAGGCGUAGUCGAUGGGAAACGGGUUAAUAUUCCCGUACUUGGUGUUACUGCGAAGGGGGGACGGAGAAGGCUAUGUUGGCCGGGCGACGGUUGUCCCGGUUUAAGCGUGUAGGUGUGUGUUCCAGGUAAAUCCGGUUCACUUUAACACUGAGGCGUGACGACGAGGCACUACGGUGCUGAAGCAACAAAUGCCCUGCUUCCAGGAAAAGCCUCUAAGCAUCAGGUAACAUCAAAUCGUACCCCAAACCGACACAGGUGGUCAGGUAGAGAAUACCAAGGCGCUUGAGAGAACUCGGGUGAAGGAACUAGGCAAAAUGGUGCCGUAACUUCGGGAGAAGGCACGCUGAUAUGUAGGUGAAGUGAUUUACUCAUGGAGCUGAAAUCAGUCGAAGAUACCAGCUGGCUGCAACUGUUUAUUAAAAACACAGCACUGUGCAAACACGAAAGUGGACGUAUACGGUGUGACGCCUGCCCGGUGCCGGAAGGUUAAUUGAUGGGGUCAGCGCAAGCGAAGCUCCUGAUCGAAGCCCCGGUAAACGGCGGCCGUAACUAUAACGGUCCUAAGGUAGCGAAAUUCCUUGUCGGGUAAGUUCCGACCUGCACGAAUGGCGUAAUGAUGGCCAGGCUGUCUCCACCCGAGACUCAGUGAAAUUGAACUCGCUGUGAAGAUGCAGUGUACCCGCGGCAAGACGGAAAGACCCCGUGAACCUUUACUAUAGCUUGACACUGAACAUUGAGCCUUGAUGUGUAG
rnacentral:rRNA from 1 species